rnacentral:rRNA from 1 species
UUUACCUACGGGGGGCAGCAGUGAGGAAUAUUGGUCAAUGGUCGGGAGACUGAACCAGCCAAGCCGCGUGAGGGAUGAAGGUACAGAGUAUCGUAAACCUCUUUUGUCAGGGAACAAAGGCGGGGACGCGUCCCCGGAUGAGUGUACCUGAAGAAAAAGCAUCGGCUAACUCCGUGCCAGCAGCCGCGGUAAUACGGAGGACGCGCGCGUUAUCCGGAUUCAUUGGGUUUAAAGGGUGCGCAGGCGGGCCUUUAAGCCGGCGGUGAAAACCCGGGGCUCAAACCCCCCUAGCC